GACGAACGCUGGCGGCGUGCUUAACACAUGCAAGUCGAACGGAAAGGCCCUGCUUUUGUGGGGUGCUCGAGUGGCGAACGGGUGAGUAACACGUGAGUAACCUGCCCUUGACUUUGGGAUAACUUCAGGAAACUGGGGCUAAUACCGGAUAGGAGCUCCUGCUGCAUGGUGGGGGUUGGAAAGUUUCGGCGGUUGGGGAUGGACUCGCGGCUUAUCAGCUUGUUGGUGGGGUAGUGGCUUACCCAGGCUUUGACUGGUAGCCCGCCUGUGAGGGUGACCGGCGACAUGGGGACUGCGAUACGGAGCAGACGCCUACGGUAGGCAGCGGUGGGGAACAUGACACAGUGGGCGGAAGUCUGAUGCGGCGACGCCGGGUGCGUGAUGCCGGCCUUCGGGUUGUAAACCGCUUUCGCCUGUGACGAAGCGUGAGUGACGGUAAUGGGUAAAGAAGCACCGGCUAACUACGUG
rnacentral:rRNA from 1 species